rnacentral:rRNA from 1 species
GGAGUUAGCCGGUGCUUCUUCUGUGAGUGAUGUCCUUCCUGCCGGCUAUUAACCCGCAGGCCUUCUUCCUCACUGAAAGUGCUUUACAACCCGAAGGCCUUCUUCACACACGCGGCAUGGCUGGAUCAGGGUUGCCCCCAUUGUCCAAUAUUCCCCACUGCUGCCUCCCGUAGGAGUCUGGGCCGUGUCUCAGUCCCAGUGUGGCUGAUCAUCCUCUCAGACCAGCUACGGAUCGUCGCCUUGGUGAGCCGUUACCUCACCAACCAGCUAAUCCGACAUAGGCUCAUCCGAUAGCGCGAGGCCCGAAGGUCCCCCGCUUUCCCCCGUAGGGCGUAUGCGGUAUUAGCCUGGGUUUCCCCAGGUUAUCCCCCACUACCGGGCAGAUUCCUAUGCAUUACUCACCCGUCCGCCGCUCGCCACCAGGGAGCAAGCUCCCCGUGCUGCCGCUCGACUUGCAUGUGUAGCNCGCCGCCACGCGUCAUCUGAGCGAGAUACAACUACUGA